rnacentral:rRNA from 1 species
AUGUGCAGCAAAUUUGCAGCUCGCACACUCACUCCACCCCGCAGCCGCACCCCGCCACCGGCCAAAUCCACCGGUGUUAUAUCUCCCCGUGGCUCGACGCUGGCCGGAUCCGCUUCCCCGUUGUGCCCCGUAGCCGCUAGUGGAAGGAAUCAAGUCGCCACUGCACAAAUCCGUCGACGGCUGCCCAAGCUUCGUCGUCGCCGCCGCUUCCUUCCCCGGUUCUUCUCGGGGACGGUGCCUCCCCGGAGCCGUCCACUCGUCACUGGCAGCCUGGCGCUUCCUCUUUGCCGCCGCCGUGGCUUCGAUGCACAAGAGCUCUGCCGGCUACAAUGGCGUGUGCCGGCAGCUGUCCGACAACUACGUCGGGGAGUUCCAGCACGCCGGCAGCCGUCCGGCAACUACGUCUUGGGGUUCCAGCACGCAGGCCGCCGGUAUUCGCUUGGAACAUUCACGUCGGCUGACAUUGCCGCCCGGGCGUACGACGUCGCCGUGUGGAGGCUCGGGCUCCCCUGCUCAAGGCUCAAUUUCCCGAAAAUUCAGACUCGGGCCUGCCGGUGA